CGCAAAAUUCUACUAACGCAGACAGUGGAUGCCUUGGUCUUAUCUACCGAAGAAGGACGCAUAUGGCAGCGAUAAUCGCCGGUUAGGAGCCACAAUCCUAUGACCCGGCGGUGUCCGAAUGGGGAAACCCGGCUACAUUUAUCUGUAGUCAGCUUUUUCUUAACAUGCAGACUUCGGUUUGUAUGCACGAAAAAGUAGGGAACCGCCCGAACUGAAACAUCUAAGUAGGGCGAGGAAGAGAAAUCAAUUGAGAUUGCCUCAGUAGCGGCGAGCGAAAUGGCAAAAGCCUAAACCAAGAAGAUUCUUCGGAAUUUUUUUGGGGUUGCGGGACUCUAAUGUGGGAGUUAAUAAGGUAGCGGAACAACUUGGAAUAGUUGACCAAAGAAAGUGAAAGUCUUGUACGUAAAACCAAAUUAACCUCUAGGAGUAUCCCAAGUACCACGGAGCACAUACUCUGUGGGAAUCCGGGGGAGCCAUCCUCCAAGGCUAAAUAUAUGAUAAGAACCGAUAGUGAACUAGUACCGUGAGGGAAAGGCGAAAAGAAGGGCGGAACGCCCAGUGAAAUAGAACCUGAAACUGUUUGCGGACAAACCGAGAGAGCUUUAAUUUAUUAGAGUGAUCUCGUGCCUAUUGAAGAAUGAACCGGCGAGUUACCUCCUUUAGUACCUUGUUUAAGCCACUUUAGUGGUGAAAGCACAGCGAAAGCGAGUCCGAAUAGGGCGAUUAUAGGUACUAGGUGGUAGACCCGAAACCAAGUGAUCUAUCCAUGAGCAGGGUGAACUCUGAUGAAAAUCAGAAGGAGGCCCGAACCCGUGUCUGUUGCAAUAGGCUGGGAUGACUUGUGGAUAGCGGCAAUAUGCCAAUCGAACUUGGAGAUAGCUGGUUCUCCCCGAAAGGUGUUUAGGCACCGUGGUCGUGUAAAAAUAUGGGGUGGUAGAGCUACUGGAUGGGUUAUCGAACGUAAGUGAGAUAACUCAACCAAACUCCGAAUAACCCAUAAAUCGCGGCUAGACAGUCAUACGGGGCUAAGCUCGUGUGACGAGAGGGAAACAACCCGGACUCUCGGCUAAGGUCUCUAAAUUCUGACUAAGUUUGAAAGGAAGUCUUUUUUCAUAGACAGCCAGGAGGUUGGCUUAGAAGCAGCCAUCCUUUAAAGAAAGCGUAACAGCUCACUGGUCGAUGAAAGAGGGCGCCGAAAAUUUAUCGAGGAUUAAGUCAGGUACCGAAGCUAGAGAUGUGCAUCGUAAGAUGUACGUGGUAGGGGAGCGUUCCAUGCGCAGUGAAGCUCAACUGGAAAGUUGGGUGGAGUACAUGGAAGUGAGAAUGCCGGUAUGAGUAGCGCACUAGAUGUGUGAGAAUCACAUCCGCCGAAUGCCCAAGGUUUCCGUCGCAAGGUUCGUCCUCGACGGGUUAGUCGGCUCCUAAGGCGAGGCCAUAAUGGCGUAGUCGAUGGACAAGCAGUUAAAAUUCUGCUACUUGGAGUGAAUCGUUUGAGUUGGGGGUUAACUGAGCAGGACGCUUGAAGCUUUCAGACAAAUGAAAGUGUAAAUUGUAAGAUAGUUGAAAUUGGAAAAUCCGUUUUAAUGAUUAAUCAAGCAAUGAUACAAAGCACUAAGAGAUUAGGGUAAUUUCAAGUUAUUCAGCUUGCGAGAAAAGGCUCGCAACGAGAUUCAAAUCAAGCCGUACCGUAAACCGACACAGGUGGGCAGGUAGAGAAUACUAAGGCGAUCGGGAGAAGGAUUCUUAAGGAACUCGGCAAACAAGCUUCCCGUAACUUCGGGAGAUGGGAUGCCCACUUCAUUGUGGGUUGCAACAAACGUUUGCUAGUCGACUGUUUAUCAAAAACACAGGUCCGUGCGAAACCGAAAGGUGAUGUAUACGGGCUGACGCCUGCCCAGUGCUGGUAAGUUAAAGGGAUAGGUCUUCUGUCUUCGGACAUUAGGCUUUGAACCGAAGCUCCGGUAAACGGCAGCAGUAACUAUGAAUCAAUUGUAGUUGUAAAAUUUGGCUAUAUGCUGGAAUAUCCUAUUAAGUCAUUGGUAGGCCGUUAAUUUGGCAACAAGUUAACUGAUACCUGAAAAACCAAUGAAUAGGGACAAUCAGCAGGGAAGGCUUCCAUAUUGGAAGAACCCCCAGAGACUAUACGCCAAAAUCCAAUUUAAGUUGGGUAUGAUAUAGUCCGACCCUCAUGGAGACAUGGGGAGUGUGGUAGAAAUAUCCACACCACCUUGAUUUAAUCAAGGAAGUAACAAAAGUGAACUGUUCUACGGUAGCGAAGUUCCUUGUCGGGUAAGUUCCGACGUGCACGAAUGGCGUAACGAGCUAGCAACUGUCUUGAGAAUUCCCCCGGCGAAAUUGCGUUGGCUGUGAAGACGCGGCCUAUUUCCACCAGGACAAAAAGACCCCGUGGAGCUUUACUGCAGCUUGGCAUUGAUUUAUGCAUUUUAACUGUUGAGAGUAGGAGGGAGAGCUUCGGCUCGUCGAUGAAACACCUCUCUUUGAAAUGUGGUAAAUCUUACCUAACAACCUUGAAUACUGGUUGAGGGAACGUGCUAGGUGGGCAGUUUUACUGGGGCGGUACCCUGCUAAAAGGUAACGCAGGGGUACAAAGGUUGGCUUGCUACGGAUGGAAAUCGUAGUGAAAGCAUAAAGGUUUAAGCCAGCUUGACUGUGAGGCCGACGGGCCAAACAGGUACGAAAGUAGGUCUUAGUGAUCCUCCGAUCCGCUAUGGUUGCGGACGGAGCUUAACGGAUAAAAGCUACCCCGGGGAUAACAGAGUAGUCGCGCCCGAGAGUCCAUAUCGACGGCGCGGAUCGCUACCUCGAUGUCGGCUCACCACAUCCUGGGGCUGAAGAAGGUCCCAAGGGUUGGUCUGUUCGCCCAUUAAAGUGGUACGUGAGCUGGGUUCAGAACGUCGUAAGACAGUUCGGACUCUAUCCGGUGGAAACGUUUGAGUCUUGAGGGGAGCUAACCUCAGUACGAGAGGACCAGGUUGGGGGAAUCCCUAGUGUGCCGGUUGUCGUGUUUACGGCAACGCCGGGUAGCUACAUUCCUAAGGGAUAACCGCUGAAAGCAUAUAAGUGGGAAGCCCACCCCGAGAUGAGGACUCAUUUGUCAUUGACAAGAAGACUCCGGAGAGAUCAUCCGGUUAAUCGGCAGGCAGUGGAAGAGUAGUAAUACUUUAAGCUUACCUGCGCGAAUCAGUCGAUGAAUUUAACGAC
rnacentral:rRNA from 1 species